GAUGAACGCUAGCGGCAGGCCUAAUACAUGCAAGUCGAACGGCAGCGGGUGUAGCAAUACAUGCCGGCGAGUGGCGCACGGGUGCGUAACACGUAUGCAACCUUCCUUCAAAUGGAGGAUAGCCCCUCGAAAGAGGGAUUAAUACUCCGUAGUAUUAUAGAUAGGCAUUUAUUUAUAAUUAAAGCUCCGGCGGUUGAAGAUGGGCAUGCGUUGCAUUAGCUAGNGGUGAGGUAAUGGCUCACCAAGGCGACGAUGCAUAGGGGAUCUGAGAGGACUAACCCCCACACUGGUACUGAGACACGGACCAGACUCCUACGGGAGGCAGCAGUAAGGAAUAUUGGUCAAUGGAGGCAACUCUGAACCAGCCAUGCCGCGUGAAGGAUGACUGCCCUAUGGGUUAUAAACUUCUUUGUACGGAAUAACCUCUCUACGUGUAGAGAGCUGAAU
rnacentral:rRNA from 1 species